UAUCUGAUAGCUCAGUUGGUAGAGCAUGAGACUCUUAAUCUCAAGGUUAUGGGUUCGAGUCCCACAUUGGGCAA